AUUGAACGCUGGCGGCAGGCCUAACACAUGCAAGUCGAGCGAGCGGCGGACGGGUGAGUAAUGUAUGGGGACUGCCCGAUAGAGGGGGAUAACUACUGGAAACGGUAGCUAAUACCGCAUACUAUCGGAUAACCCAUAUGGGAUUAGCUAGUAGGUGAGGUAAUGGCUCACCUAGGCGACGAUCCCUAGCUGGUCUGAGAGGAUGAUCAGCCACACUGGUACUGAGACACGGCCCAGACUCCUACGGAGGCAGCGGUGGCGAAUAUUGCACAAAGGGCGCAAGCCUAGUGCAGCCAUGCCGCGUGUAUGAUGAAGGCCUUCGGGUUGUAAAGUACUUUUGGCAGAAAGGCGGUAUCUGCAGAAUAAGCACCGGCUAACUACGUGCCAGCAGCCGCGGUAAUAC
rnacentral:rRNA from 1 species